GAUCAUGGCUCAGGAUGAACGCUAGCGACAGGCUUAACACAUGCAAGUCGAGGGGCAUCAUGAGGUAGCAAUACCUUGAUGGCGACCGGCGCACGGGUGAGUAACGCGUAUGCAACCUGCCCGAUACCGGGGUAUAGCCCAUGGAAACGUGGAUUAACACCCCAUAGUACUUUUAUCCUGCCUGGGAUGUGAGUUAAAUGUUCAAGGUAUCGGAGUGGGCGAUGCGUCCUAUUAGUUUAGG
rnacentral:rRNA from 1 species